rnacentral:rRNA from 1 species
GAUGAACGCUGGCGGCGUGCCUAAUACAUGCAAGUCGAGCGAACGGACGAGAAGCUUGCUUCUCUGAUGUUAGCGGCGGACGGGUGAGUAACACGUGGAUAACCUACCUAUAAGACUGGGAUAACUUCGGGAAACCGGAGCUAAUACCGGAUAAUAUUUUGAACCGCAUGGUUCAAAAGUGAAAGACGGUCUUGCUGUCACUUAUAGAUGGAUCCGCGCUGCAUUAGCUAGUUGGUAAGGUAACGGCUUACCAAGGCAACGAUGCAUAGCCGACCUGAGAGGGUGAUCCGCCACACUGGAACUGAGACACGGUCCAGACUCCUACGGGAGGCAGCAGUAGGGAAUCUUCCGCAAUGGGCGCAAGCCUGACGGAGCAACGCCGCGUGAGUGAUGAAGGUCUUCGGAUCGUAAAACUCUGUUAUUAGGGAAGAACAUAUGUGUAAGUAACUGUGCACAUCUUGACGGUACCUAAUCAGAAAGCCACGGCUAACUACGUG